rnacentral:rRNA from 1 species
GACGAACGCUGGCGGCGUGCCUAAUACAUGCAAGUAGGACGCAGUUGCGAACGGGUGAGUAACGCGUAGGUAACUGCCUAUUAGAGGGGGAUAACUAUUGGAAACGAUAGCUAAUACCGCAUACUAGUAGAUGGACCUGCGUUGUAUUAGCUAGUAGGUAGGGUAAUGGCCUACCUCGGCGACGAUACAUAGCCGACCUGAGAGGGGGAUCGGGCACAAUGGGAAUGGGACACGGGCCAGACUCCUACGGGAGGCAGCAGUAGGGAAACUUUGGGAAUGGGGGGAACCCUGACCGAGCAACUCCGGGGGAGUGAAGAAGGUUUUUGGAUCGGAAAGGUCUGGUGUUAAGGAAGCGGUACUUAACCAGAAAGGGACGGCUAACUACGUGCCAGCAGCCGCGGUAAUAC